rnacentral:rRNA from 1 species
AUUGAACGCUGGCGGCAGGCUUAACACAUGCAAGUUGAGCGGGGUGAUGGUGCUUGCACUAUCACUUAGCGGCGGACGGGUGAGUGAUGCUUAGAAAUCUGCCUAUUAGUGGGGGACAACAUCUCGAAAGGGAUGCUAAUACCGCAUACGUCCUACGGGAGAAAGCAGGGGAUCACUUGUGACCUUGCGCUAAUAGAUGAGCCUAAGUCGGAUUAGCUAGUUGGUGGGGUAAAGGCCUACCAAGGCGACGAUCUAUAGCGGGUCUGAGAGGAUGAUCCGCCACACUGGGACUGAGACACGGCCCAGACUCCUACGGGAGGCAGCAGUGGGGAAUAUUGGACAAUGGGGGGAACCCUGAUCCAGCCAUGCCGCGUGUGUGAAGAAGGCCUUAUGGUUGUAAAGCACUUUAAGCGAGGAGGAGGCUCUUUUGGUUAAUACCCAAGAUGAGUGGACGUUACUCGCAGAAUAAGCACCGGCUAACUCUGUGCCAGCCGCCGCCGUAA